AUAGAAAUCUGAACAAGUUAAAAUACCGUACAUUAAAAAUCAUAUUAAUUUUAUCCUGCCCGCUAAUAUUUGUAAUUUGAUUUGUAAGUAGGGUACGGAAGCAUAAAGAUCACAACAAUAAAUAUAAAAACGGAGCAUCCAAUAGAUGCUGCUAAAAAUUGAAAGAAUUUAUUUAGUAUUUACGUACAACAAAUGAAUGCAAAAUAUUGUACUGAAAUGAUGAAAGUAGACAGGAAUAAGUGCUGGAAAUCCUUUGUUUGAAACGAGAUGAACAACCACAGUGAACAAGAAGUUUUUUAUUUGAAACCAGAUAAUGUGAUAUUAAAAUUUAAUGAAGAUGAAUAAAGUGAAAGAAGAGGAGGCAAUCGAAUUCCAAGAUAUACAAUUAAAAGUUCCAAUAAUAAAAACAACACGACUAGAAAAUAUGUGCAUUUUU